rnacentral:rRNA from 1 species
AGUUUGAUCAUGGCUCAGAUUGAACGCUGGCGGGAUGCUUUACACAUGCAAGUCGAACGGCAGCAGGGACUUCGGUCUGGUGGCGAGUGGCGAACGGGUGAGUAAUGUAUCGGAACGUGCCUAGUAGCGGGGGAUAACUACGCGAAAGCGUAGCUAAUACCGCAUACGCCCUUCGGGGGAAAGCGGGGACCUUCGGGCCUCGCACUAUUAGAGCGGCCGAUAUCGGAUUAGCUAGUUGGUGGGUAACGGCUCACCAAGGCGACGAUCCGUAGCUGGUUUGAGAGGACGACCAGCCACACUGGGACUGAGACACGGCCCAGACCUACGGGAGGGGCAGCAGUGGGGAAUUUGACAAUGGGGGAAACCCUGAUCCAGCCAUCCCGCGUGUGCGAUGAAGGCCUUCGGGUUGUAAAGCACUUUUGGCAGGAAAGAAACGGCAUCGGAUAAUACCCCGUGCAACUGACGGUACCUGCAGAAUAAGCACCGGCUAACUACGUGCCAGCAGCCGCGGUAAUACGUAGGGUGCAAGCGUUAAUCGGAAUUACUGGGCGCAAAGCGUGCGCAGGCGGUUCGAAAGAAAGAUGUGAAAUCCUGGUUUAACUUGGAACUGGCAUUUUUAACUACCGAGCCAGCGUAUCAGAGGGAGGUGGAAUUCGGGCGUGUAGCAGUGAAAUGCGUAGAUAUGCGGAGGAACACCGAUGGCGAAGGCAGCCUCCUGGGAUAACACUGACGCUCAUGCACGAAAGCGUGGGGAGCAAACAGGAUUAGAUACCUGGUAGUCCACGCCCUAAACGAUGUCAAAUUAGCUGUUGGGGCCUUCGGGCCUGGUAGCGCAGCUAACGGGAAGUUGACCGCCUGGGGAGUACGGUCGCAAGAUUAAAACUCAAAGGAAUUGACGGGGACCUGCACAAGCGGUGGAUGAUGUGGAUUAAUUCGAUGCAACGCGAAAAACCUACUCUACUCCUUGACAUGUCUGGAAUCCCGAAGAGAUUUUGGGAGUGCUCGCAAGAGAACCGGAACACAGGUGCUGCAUGGCUGUCGUCAGCUCGUAAGCCGAGAUGUUGGGUUAAGUCCCGCAACGAGCGCAACCCUUGUCAUUAGUUGCUGCUGAAAGGGCACUCUAAUGAGACUGCCGGUGACAAACCGAGGAAGGUGGGGAUGACGUCAAGUCCUCAUGACCCUUAUGGGUAGGGCUUCACACGUCAUACAAUGGUCGGGACAGAGGGUCGCCAACCCGCGAGGGGGAGCCAAUCCUGUGAAACCGAUCGUAGUCCGGAUCGCAGUCUGCAACCGACUGCGUGAAGUCGGAAUCGCUAGUAAUCGCGGAUCAGCAUGUCGCGGUGAAUACGUUCCCGGGUCUUGUACACACCGCCCGUCACACCAUGGGAGUGGGUUUUACCAGAAGUAGUUAGCCUAACCGUAAGGAGGGCGAUUACCACGGUAGGAUUCAUGACUGGGGUGAAGUCGUAACAAGGUAG